rnacentral:rRNA from 1 species
CAGCAGCCGCGGUAAUACGUAGGUGGCAAGCGUUGUCCGGAAUUAUUGGGCGUAAAGGGCUCGCAGGCGGUUUCUUAAGUCUGAUGUGAAAGCCCCCGGCUCAACCGGGGAGGGUCAUUGGAAACUGGGAAACUUGAGUGCAGAAGAGGAGAGUGGAAUUCCACGUGUAGCGGUGAAAUGCGUAGAGAUGUGGAGGAACACCAGUGGCGAAGGCGACUCUCUGGUCUGUAACUGACGCUGAGGAGCGAAAGCGUGGGGAGCGAACAGGAUUAGAUACCCCCGUAGUCCUGUCUCUUAUACA